rnacentral:rRNA from 1 species
GAGCACGUAGGUGGGUUUGUAAGUCAGAUGUGAAAGCCUUCUGUUCAACGGAAGAAUUGCAUCUGAAACUGCGAGUCUUGAGUGUAGGGGGGGAGAAUGGAACUUCUGGUGGAGCGGUGAAAUGCGUAGAUAUCAGAAGGAACUCCGGCGGCGAAAGCGACUCUCCGGCCUAUUACUGACACUCAGUGUGCGAAAGCUAGGGGAGCGACCGGGAUUAGAUACCCCGGUAGUCCUAGCCGUAAACGAUGGGCACUAAGUAGAGGGGUUUU